AUUUUCGUUUCCUCUACUUGACUCUAAAUCAAUCCUGUAUAUUCGCAAACUACAAAGAGGCGCAUGCAAAUAGAUACUGUACUGAGGGCAGAUACACGCGCGAGAUCCAGAGGCUUACAUCCCCAGCCGCUUGGCCCACCAGAGACAAGAACAGGAUGAUAAGCAAUGGAAUGGCAUUGAACUCUCCUGCUGAAGGACUUGCAUUUCAAUGUAGAUUCUGAGGCUGGGUGAAAACUUCUCUGUCACCUUUACUACAGCAUUCUCACCCAUUUAUAUUUCUUUCCCCUUCUACAUCUCUAUUACUGUUGCACUAUGUUAUGCAUUACACCAUGG
rnacentral:lncRNA from 1 species